CACGUAGGGGGCAAGCGUUGUCCGGAUUUAUUGGGCGUAAAGAGCUCGUAGGCGGUUCGGUAAGUUGGGUGUGAAACCUCCAGGCUCAACCUGGAGACGCCACCCGAUACUGCUGUGACUAGAGUCCGGUAGGGGAGCGUGGAAUUCCUGGUGUAGCGGUGAAAUGCGCAGAUAUCAGGAGGAACACCAGCGGCGAAGGCGGCGCUCUGGGCUGACACUGACGCUGAGGCGCGAAAGCCAGGGGAGCGAACGGG
rnacentral:rRNA from 1 species